UGCGGCUGGAUCCCCUCCUUUCUCGGAAACGCCCUCGCGUUCCAGUGCUCACGCUUAUCGGUUGUUGCAAGGUGACAGGAAAAUUGGAUUCACGCGCACAGAGUGUUUCUUGCAGCAUCGACUCCGCUUUGCCGUGAUCUCCAGUCGGACCUCUGUUGCCUGGCAGGGGCCUGUAGCUCAGUUGGUUAGAGCACCGUCUUGAUAAGGCGGGGGUCGAUGGUUCGAAUCCAUCCAGACCCACCACGGAUAUCGAAGCGAGAGGGGCUGUAGCUCAGUUGGGAGAGCACCUGCUUUGCAAGCAGGGGGUCGUCGGUUCGAUCCCGUCCAGCUCCACCAUCGAGCUUGGGAUCGAACCCCGGUGGGCGCGCAGAAUUCAGAAGCAAGCGGCAAGCGUUUCAGUUCUGCUGUUUGCUUCUGGUUUCGUUGAAACCAGGUAUCGGUUGUUCUUUAACAAUACGGAAGAAGUAAGGCAAUCUUGCUCGACGAGCAGGAACGAGGGCGCGAGCCCAAGUUUCGGCGCGUGGGGCAGGAUGGGUUGGAUUGUAUCGGCCCGCUGUUCCUCGAGUUCGGAGCGGCGGGUAGCGCAAACACCCGUAGCCUGGGCGGCAGCAGUGCUCAGCGUUAUGGGGUCAAGCGACUAAGUGCAUGUGGUGGAUGCCUUGGCGAUUACAGGCGAUGAAGGACGUGGCAGCCUGCGAAAAGCUGCGGGGAGCUGGCAAACGAGCAUUGAUCCGCAGAUGUCCGAAUGGGGAAACCCGG
rnacentral:misc_RNA from 1 species